rnacentral:rRNA from 1 species
UUUUAUGAGAGUUUGGUCCUGGCUCAGGACGAACGCUGGCGGCGUGCCUAAUACAUGCAAG